GACGUAGGGGGCCAGCGUUGUUCGGAAUUACUGGGUGUAAAGGGUUCGUAGGCGGUGCGGCAAGUUGGGAGUGAAAUCUCUGGGCUUAACCCAGAGGCUGCUUCCAAAACUGCUGUGCUUGAGUGUGGGAGAGGCGCGUGGAAUUCAGGUGUAGCGGUGAAAUGCGUAGAUAUCUGCAGGAACACCCGUGGCGAAAGCGGCGCGCUGGACCACUACUGACGCUGAUGCACGAAAGCUAGGGGAGCAAACAGG
rnacentral:rRNA from 1 species